rnacentral:rRNA from 1 species
CCUGGCGGCGAGUGGCGAACGGGUGAGUAAUAUAUCGGAACGCACCCUGGAGUGGGGGAUAACGUAGCGAAAGUUACGCUAAUACCGCAUACGAUCUAAGGAUGAAAGUGGGGGAUUCGCAAGAACCUCAUGCUCCUGGAGCGGCCGAUAUCUGAUUAGCUAGUUGGUGGGGUAAAGGCCUACCGAGGCAUCGAUCAGUAGCUGGUCUGAGAGGACGACCAGCCACACUGGAACUGAGACACGGUCCAGACUCCUACGGGAGGCAGCAGUGGGGAAUUUUGGACAAUGGGCGAAAGCCUGAUCCAGCAAUGCCGCGUGAGUGAAGAAGGCCUUCGGGUUGUAAAGCUCUUUUGUCAGGGAAGAAACGGUGAAGGCUAAUAUCCUUUGCUAAUGACGGUACCUGAAGAAUAAGCACCGGCUAACUACGUGCCAGCAGCCGCGGUAAUACGUAGGGUGCAAGCGUUAAUCGGAAUUACUGGGCGUAAAGCGUGCGCAGGCGGUUUUGUAAGUCUGUCGUGAAAUCCCCGGGCUCAACCUGGGA